rnacentral:lncRNA from 1 species
ACCUCAAUAUUAGACUCAAGAUUGCCAAUGCUGUAGAGUCAUCUUCUUUAGCUUUUCAAAAAUACCAUCCUAUCUCUAUUGUCUACCUUAUUGACUCUGGCAACUUUAUGCUUUCCUACAUAAUGAAUCCUCCUAGAGCUUAUACUAAAAUAGGGUAUGUCUUAAAAGUCAUCUAUAUAUAAUUACAAAAAUUAUCUUAUGAUUUUUUUUCUUAUAAUCACUUUCAUCUAUGAUCAUUAGAGAUGGAAAAGAAUCCAUGAG